AUUGAACGCUGGCGGCAGGCCUAACACAUGCAAGUCGAGCGGAUGAAGGUAGCUUGCUCCUGGAUUCAGCGGCGGACGGGUGAGUAAUGCCUAGGAAUCUGCCUGUGAGUGGGGGAUAACGUCCGGAAACGGGCGCUAAUACCGCAUACGUCCUGAGGGCGUAAUUGGGGUUUCUUCGUACCUCACGCUAUCAGAGGAGCCUAGGUCGGAUUAGCUAGUUGGUGGGGUAAAGGCCUACCAAGGCGACGUUCCGUAACUGGUCUGAGAGGAUGAUCAGUCAAACUGGAACUGAGACACGGUCCAGACUCCUCCGGGAGGAACAAGAGGGGAAUAUUGGACAAUGGGCGAAAGCCUGAUCCAGCCAUGCCGGGUGUGUGAAGAAGGUCUUCGGAUUUUAAAGCCUUUUAAGUUGGGAGGAAGGGCAGUAAGUUAAUACCUUGCUGUUUUGACGUUACCAAAAGAAUAAGCAACGGCUAACUUCGUG
rnacentral:rRNA from 1 species